UACAGAGGGUGCGAGCGUUAAUCGGAGUUACUGGGCGUAAAGGGCGCGUAGGUUGUAUUGUAAGUUAGUUGUGAAAGCCCUGGGCUUAACCUGGGAAUUGCAACUAAGACUGUGAUACUAGAGUACUGUAGAGGGUAGUGGAAUUUCCGGUGUAGCGGUGAAAUGCGUAGAGAUCGGAAGGAACACCAGUGGCGAAGGCGGCUACCUGGACAGAUACUGACACUGAGGCGCGAGAGCGUGGGGAGCAAACAGG
rnacentral:rRNA from 1 species